rnacentral:rRNA from 1 species
AUGGCAUCAUCGGAGGGGUACGCGCCGGUGCAGACCGUGGUGUACCGGUCGGCGGCGUUGGAGGCGUCGGAGGCGUUCGAGCCGUUCCAGCUGUGCAUGGGGUGCCGGUGCUGCCCGGCGGGGAACAACGGCUCGUCGUGCGUGGACACGCAGUGCUGCUACGGCAUCAACUGCAACCUCCCCGGCAAGCCGUUCGGGACCUGCGCCUUCACCCCGCGCACCUGCGGCUGCGGCGCCAACAACUGCACGGCUGCACCCGCCCCGCCGCCGCCUACGAGCUAG